GGUGGCUCAGCGGUAGAGCACUUGCCUUGCAUGCACGAGACCCUGGGUUCAAUUCCUCAGCACCA
rnacentral:tRNA from 1 species